GUACCACCCACAGGGUUUUGGAAAACAACCAAUAAACUCGUACAAUACACUCAGACACUCCCACACAAAAUCCUCCCCUCUGCCUGUGAUACAAUUACCUUACACAAUGGGUAAUGUAAUUAUCACAGGCAGAGAAAUAGUUUUUCCACAUUAUUCAAAAUAAAAGUAUGCAUCACAUUGACAUAAAACUUACAUUUUCAGAAUCAGCAUACUCCAAAUACAAACAUACGUCAAAAUCAUACAAAUUGGUCC